rnacentral:tRNA from 24 species
CCUUCUGUAGCUCAAUUGGUGAGAGCACCCGACUGUGACUCGGGCGACGGCGGAUCGUAACCGCCCAGAGGGACCA